rnacentral:lncRNA from 1 species
AGACACCGGCAUACCAGACAUAAAAUGCAAAAUGAUAGUCUAGUAAACCAACACACCAGAGCUAAGGCCAGAUACCAAACAUGAAAAGUCAGCCUAUCAAAUAACAAGGUUAAAAAAAAAACAAGGCUCAUUCACUCCUUCAAAGGCUUGAACCACCAGCAAACAAUGCUAAUGUUUUGUCAAUAAUCAACUUUAGACUCCAUAAGGUUCUAGCCAACAAUCAACAUGUCAAUAUCAAGUCACAAUUCUAACAACUCAAAGUAAGCAAUUUAAAAGUCAAAAUUCAUGUGACAAAGUGAGAUACAUGUUAUGAAAAUCAAUAAGCAAAUGGGUGAGAAACAAGUGCUUAACUUGAUCAAUUGAUGUCUUUUUGAAAUAAUAAUAAGCACAUAGUUCAAAAGGGCAAACAAAGACACACAACAAUCAAGUUUCUAAUUAAGGUGAUCACCAAGUCCAUCAGGUUUUUCAUUGAAUUUGUUAUUACCAAUGUUUCCUCCAUACUCAACUUUAAACUCACAAAUUGUCCUGCAAAAAAUGUUAAGUCCAAAAAAAAAACUUUUUGCAGCUUAAACUUAAGGGACUUUGUUCUUCAAUCUAUUAAUCCACACAAAAUUUC